UCAGCGAAAACAAGUAAUUAUACAAUAUCAACUAUCAAAACCAAUCUACAAUUCCACCUCAAUCCUCAAAUCUCAAGCCAUCAUCACUGGUAUAGUGUGUGUGUGUGUGUGUGUGUGUGUGUGUGAUCAACAUCCAUGAUAACUGCUACGGAUUCAAAUUCAAUACAUAACCAAUUUCUUAGAAGGAAUCAUACAAUGCAAACUUAAAAAUUUCAAAAAUAGACAGCUCCAACUAAAACU
rnacentral:lncRNA from 1 species